UAAGAUCGGGUUGCGGUUUA
rnacentral:siRNA from 1 species